CCUGAGAAACCCAAAUGAUUGAAUGGAGAGAUUCAUCGUCAGCUCAUAUUGUAUAUGUAUAAUUUAUGAUACGRGUUACCUUUGUUGUAUUGCUUGUACAUAUUUGUACAUUUAUUUGCAAUUUGAUGUCGGCGUGCACUUCUCUCCUAGUAGAACAUCGCGACCCGUUGAGUGUUGGUUUACGACCUAAAUGGGCUAGUCUUUAGUAUUUAAUUAUAUUAAAGACCAUUGGCGUAUUCUGACCAACUGCUCGGCGGUACUCAUUAAGGUAUUUAGCCGCAUAUUUUUAUGCGUCCAUAUCCRUCACAAGCGAGGCUAGUUUCUUGGUAGUACGGAGUUAGUGCCGUCACUGGUACUGGCCAGCUGUUGGUUGUAAUGGUAUUCUAGGACAGGCUAAGRAAAAAAUUAAUACCGGUCGGCGAUGCUACUGCUUUGGGUACUUUCAGGACCCGUCUUGAAACACGGACCAAGGAGUCUAACAUGUACGCAAGUCAUUGGAUUUUUUUUUUUAUAAAUAAAUCUAAAGGCGUAAUGAAAGUAAAUGUCGUCCUUGCGUCGACAAAGGGAGGAUAAAUUUUAUUAUGAUAUAAUUUCGCACUCCUGGGGCGUCUUAUUCUCAUUGUGARACRAGGCGCACCUAR
rnacentral:rRNA from 1 species